GGUUGGUCCGAUGGCAGUGGGUUAUCAGAACUUACUAACAUUAGUGUCACUAAAGUUGAUAUACCACCCCCCCACUGCUAAAUUUGACUGGCUUAAA
ensembl:misc_RNA Y_RNA Y RNA